ACGAGGCGAGGAGGCGGCGCAGGCGUAACGCGUCACGGGCGGCCUGGCAGCUGGCGGCAUUGAGGCAGACGCGGCUAGAGGUCCGUCUGACCGCGGCGUCGGGACUUGGUUUCCGGGCAUGAGCUGAGAGCACCACGCCGAGGCCACGAGUAUUUCAUAGACAUUGAUGGAAGCAGAAACCAAAACUCUUCCCCUGGAGAAUGCAUCCAUCCUUUCAGAGGGCUCUCUGCAGGAAGGACACCGAUUAUGGAUUGGCAACCUGGACCCCAAAAUUACAGAAUACCACCUCCUCAAGCUCCUCCAGAAGUUUGGCAAAGUAAAGCAGUUUGACUUCCUCUUCCACAAGUCAGGUGCUUUGGAGGGACAGCCUCGAGGCUACUGUUUUGUUAACUUUGAAACUAAGCAGGAAGCAGAGCAAGCCAUCCAGUGUCUCAAUGGCAAGCUGGCCCUGUCCAAGAAGUUGGUGGUGCGAUGGGCACAUGCUCAAGUAAAGAGAUACGAUCAUAACAAGAAUGAUAAGAUUCUUCCAAUCAGUCUUGAGCCAUCCUCAAGCACUGAGCCUACUCAGUCUAACCUAAGGGAAUUAAGUGACUUCUAUAGAUUCACUGGGAACAUAUAUCCACUGUGUUAUUUUCCUCAUGAGAUUUGAACCUCCUUGAUCACAGAUUGAUCUCCAUGAAGGUUUUCGUAAAUCUAACUCCUAUUGGAAAGAGAUGACUGCAUUUGUGCUUGAUGGUCUUCAUGUUACAAUGAACAUGUCUUUAGUUUCUUAUGAUUUGUAUAUGCCACUUGUUUACAAGAUAGCCUAGGGUUUUCCGUCUAUUUUUUUAUCCAGAGGACCGCAGCUUACAUCUCUCUAUUAACAUCUAUGCCUAAUGAGAGAAGGUUGCUUCCCUGUGACUCAUACAAAAUCAGUGACCGACUGUGCCAUUAAUGGAAGAGGGGCCAGAAUGCAUCUCGUGUCACUGCAAAGAUAAAAGCCAUUGAAGCAAAACUGAAAAUGAUGGCGGAAAAUCCUGAUGCAGAGUAUCCAGCAGCGCCUGUUUAUUCCUACUUUAAACCACCAGAUAAAAAAAGGACUACUCCGUAUUCUAGAACAGCAUGGAAAUCUCGAAGAUGAUGGUUGUGAAUUACUGUAGCAGCAAAAGCAAAUUGGUCUCCACACCUAAAAUCGUCUGCCUUUGUACUUUGUAGAUGUGAAUGGUACUAUUCAACGGAGCACAAUCACAUGUUAGCAUUUGGUAACAUAAUGUUUUUGGAUGUUCUUAUGGAUGUUUCUUCCCUGCACUAUGUAUGGAAUUGAGCAUCAUCCAGAAUAAAUAGGAUUGUAUCCCAAAUUGUGAUUGGAACCCUGGGAUGCUCUAAUUGGCUGGUUUGUUUGGAUUUGUAACUCCAGAAACAUUCUAUAGUGUGCCAGAGCAAAAGGCAAAUACACAAAAUGUUAUUACUUAAAUCAGGAAACUAAAUAUAUUAGCAUCUAUUAAAAAAUUGAGCAUUUUUCUACGCUUAUGUGUCUUUACAACACAAAGAAAAAGUAAAGGACAGGGAGGGAAGUGAGAGACAGAUUUUAAAUCAUGUUCAGAACUGUUGUUCCAGAAUUAACUAUGGCAAUCCCUCCAACUGGACUGAAAAAGAGAAAGUUCUUUGCAAAAAGGAGCUGAUUCUUUGAGCAAAUAUUCUGGUAAUCUGUUUAAGAAUUAUGCUUAUUGUUUCAAAAUCCCAGCUAGGAAAACAUGGUGUAUAUCUUAAAGUUAUUCGUGUUAAAACUAGAAUCAAAUUUAAUAUUUUAUACCACAACACAAGUUCUAUUUGGAAAUUGAACUUUUAUUUUAUAGCAAUCAUUUUUUUUCAAAUCUAGAUAACCAUGCCUUCUAUAAUAACAAAUGUUGCUAUUUUCAUGGGACUUUUAAAAUUACAUUUAUUGCAUGGGAUUGUUUUUAUAGCAUGAGAAUGUUCUGUUUGGAAUUAUAUCAUGGUCAGUCUAAAUAGAAAAAGCAAAAUUUCUUUGAAAACCUAAACAUUGCUGUAUUGGUCACUAUCAAACAUACAAUUUUCUAAUAAUUGUGUAGCGAUCUAAGUGGAAGAGAUUGCAUUAACUUAUGCAGGACGAGGAGAGGACAUGCAGUGGGUACAGAAAGUCAAUGGAACAGAUGCCACUCUGGCACCAAGACUGUGAUGACUUUGUGUGGUAGGUAGUUUUAAAGGACUGCAAGCCUUGGAAAUAAUUCUUCACUUGGAGAACAUACUUGCCUCUAGAUAUUUCACUCUAAGCAUCCUAAAUAUAACAAUAGAGAAAGAUAAGUCAAACAACAGAUUUGGGGAUGUGUUUCUUCAGCACAUUUUGGUCAUUUUGGUGCCAAGUUUGACAUACUGUUUAAUUGGGCAGCACCUUUGCUCCUUUACCAGGUAUGUAUCACUUUGUUACUCCAGGUGCCAUUCUUGGUGAUUACAGACUGUUUAUCACUAUCAUUGUUAGCAAGAGGAAGCUUUCGUUAUAGGAACUUAACAUCUUCCCAUGAGUAUAAAUGAAUUUAAGACAUUUGAAUCAAAGCUUCAGUAGAGGGAGGUUUUAGAAUUCAUAAAACUGGUUCAAUGAAAUUAUUUUUACUUUUCCCGAGGUUAAUCUUUUUAAAUAUCUCUAGACAUCAAAUACUUUCUGUAUGUGUUAGCUGUGUCUGUCUAUGAUGCAAGUAACUCUCCUCCUAUUUGGGGGAUAGUUCAGAGAGGUAGGAGCAUUAUCUCCCAUUUUUCUGGUGACUUCUUGGAGUAUAGAAUUCACCAUUUUAUCCAUAAGUCUUCAAAGGGUAAUGGUGGAGUAGAACUUACAUAAUGCAAAAUAGUCUUCUAUUUUUAAUAGGAACUUAGAAAAAACUUAAUAUAUAGAGUUGUUUCCUUUAGAAACAAGAGCUAUUUAUUUGUAUUUAAAGCAUUGUUUAUUAUUUGUACUGAUUCUUAUCCCUCUGUGAAUAAAUGUAAGAUGGUGUCUGUGUGGUUAUAUCUUCUCUCAUUCACUUAAUGGCAUAGACUGCAGUUCUCUGACAGGCUUGUUUCCACUCAGGACUCUGGCCAGCAUGUCCAGGUCGGGUGCUGCUUGUAAGUGCCUUCUCUGCAGAGGGUUCUGGCUAGAGUCAAACUCAGAGGCAACUCUCUUUACCCUUUAUGCCUGCCUACCUCUGUUGUUAGAGAUGAGAAGAGAGACCAGCUGUUUCCAUUGCAAAUGUCAAUAUUUGAAAAGAAGUUGUUAAUGGAAAUUUCUGCAAGUAUCAUACUAUGUUUAGUCUCUCAUAGUAGAGAUUUCAAAAGAAUAAAUGUAUGUAUCAUAAAUAUGCUGAAAGCAGUCUGAUGAAAGGUUUUUAAAUUUCAGGUGUUAACUUGGUCAACUGUGUUAGGAGGUUAUCUGUACUUAAGGUAAAAUUUUUCUUUGGUUUACUGGU